ACUUAGAAGCUGAUCCGAUAUUGGGCGAAUCUGUGGAUCACAAAUCAAAUAUGAUAAUUUGUCUGAGAAAAAAACCUUAUUUCUUAACGCCUAUUUCAACCAAUACCAUUUGCAAAGCGGAAA